rnacentral:misc_RNA from 1 species
GAUGAAGAACGUAGCGAAAUGCGAUACUUGGUGUGAAUUGCAGAAUCCCGUGAACCAUCGAGUCUUUGAACGCAAGUUGCGCCUCAAGCCAUUAGGUUGAGGGCACGUCUGCCUGGGCGUCACAUAUCGUUGCCUGAUGCCAGUUUCCUCGUGAUGGGUGACUGUGCAGGGCGAAUGAUGGCUUCCCGUGAGCAUUGUUGCCUCAUGGUUGGUUGAAAAUUGAGUCCUUGGUAGGGAGCGCCGUGAUAGAUGGUGGUUGAGUGACGAACGAGACCCAAUCAUGUGAGACCCCUACCGAAUUUGGCCUUCAUGACCCACAUGCGUCUUUGGAACGCUCAUGACGAGACCUCAGGUCAGGCGGGGCUACCCGCUGAGUUUAAGCAUAUCAAUAAACGGAGUA